CCUCGGAUUCGGGGCGUCACUAUCGAACCGCACGAACUGCGUGUCAUCCACGUAGCCGACUUCCACGUACCAGGGCUCCCCGAGGCCAGGCCGGGACACCCCCGUUUCGAAAUACCUCAUGGAGUGGGAACCUGGGGGCGAGAAACCCGACACCAAAUGGAGUGAGGACUGGGACCGCGUCACGAGUGUCCAGGCUGGAAGGCUCGGGGAGAAGGGGAACCCCCAGCACCGAGCGUUCUCGCCCCAGACCCCGCCCUCGGUGAGACCCCCGAGAGCCACUCCGUCCCGGGAACCUGGGACUUUGCCCUGAUCCCUCCCCUUCUGCACCGAGAGCUCUUCGUCACCAAGUCUCACUGAGUCCUGGCCCAGGGGCUAAUUCAGUGAUUUUCAAAGUUUUUGGUCAGAAUAUCUAUAUAGUCUUCCAAAUUAGGAACACCUCAAGGAUAUUAUCUAUCGAUAUUUUCCAUACUAGGAGUAAUACUGUUAAAUUAAAAAAAAUUGUAAUAACCUUUAAUGGAAAAAAAACAUGAAAACGAAUAUAUGCAUGUAUAUGCAAGACUGGGACAUCGUGCUGUACACGAGAUUGACACAUUGUAAUUGACAGCACUUCAAUUAUUAAAAAAUUAAUUUAGGUAAA